GAUGAACGCUGGCGGCGUGCCUAAUACAUGCAAGUCGAGCGAAUGGAUUAAGAGCUUGCUCUUAUGAAGUUAGCGGCGGACGGGUGAGUAACACGUGGGUAACCUGCCCAUAAGACUGGGAUAACUCCGGGAAACCGGGGCUAAUACCGGCUAACAUUUUGAACCGCAUGGUUCGAAAUUGAAAGGCGGCUUCGGCUGUCACUUAUUGAUGGACCCGCGUCGCAUUAGCUAGUUGGGGAGGUAACGGCUCACCAAGGCAACGAUGCGUAGCCGACCUGAGAGGGUGAUCGGCCACACUGGGACUGAGACACGGCCCAGACUCCUACGGGAGGCAGCAGUAGGGAAUCUUCCGCAAUGGACGAAAGUCUGACGGAGCAACGCCGCGUGAGUGAUGAAGGCUUUCGGGUCGUAAAACUCUGUUGUUAGGGAAGAGCAAGUGCUAGUUGAAUAAGCUGGCACCUUGACGGUACCUAACCAGAAAGCCACGGCUAACUGCGUGCCAGCAGCCGCGGUAA
rnacentral:rRNA from 1 species